rnacentral:misc_RNA from 1 species
CAGCAUUGGCUGUGUGUGAUUCAAUCAUGACGCGCGCUGGCAUGAAGGGCAAGGUGCUCGGCAAGGAGAAGAAGGCUGCCAUCAUCGAUGCCCGCAAGAAGGACGCGGAGAGUCGCAAGAACCGCGAUGACAAGCGCUGGAAGCGCGUGCUCGCGAACAUGGACGAGGAGAAGCGCAAGAAGUUCCACGGCGUCGGCAACACGGCGAAGAACUCGCGCGUGCGCGGUGCGACCCGCGCGUCUCUGCGCAAGCGCACUGGCCGCAAGCCGGACGCUGUGAGCAUGGAGGCGACGAUCCACCUGUCGAAGCUGCUGAAGAAGAAGACCUUCUCGAAGCGCGCUCCGCUGGCGAUCAAGCGCAUCAAGGCGUUUGUGGGUCGUCUGAUGAAGACGAAGGACAACCGCAUUGACGCGUCGCUGAACACGUACAUCUGGCACAAGGGCGUGAAGGGCGUCCCUGGCCGCGUGCGCGUGCUGAUCCAGCGCAAGUCGGAGACGACAGAGGGCAACAAGCACAAGCACUUCUACACGGUUAUCUCCAACGUGCCGGUUGCGUCCUUCAAGGGCCUGACCACGAAGACGGUGGAGCAGUAAUCGUGCGCGUCUUUUCAUAGGCGCCUGCAGUGAUCUCCGCUAACGUCGCAGUGAUUUGCUCGAUCUUUUUUUGUUCGGUUACGUUCUUUUUCGUCAUUUUUGAAAACAAAAAACAAGCAAAUAACGACAAACUAACAGCGGCACACCCACACUCAACAAAUAAAUCGCGAAGGAGCCAAGGCGACGCCUCCUGCGAGGCGCCACACUUCCCCGAUGGGACCCUCUCUACUUGGUACGGGUCACAUGCCGAGGCGCUGCGUAAAGGACCAUGGCGCGUGACGCGAGUGGCAGGAGCCGAGGCGGAGAAGGGCGCUGGGGACGGCACUCUCGAUGAUGUCAGCAAAGAUGAAGGCGAUGCCAUUGCGCCAGCGCAGGUGUUUCGGCCGUCGUUAGCCACUCGCCGCCAUGGCGCUCUUUGCGCGUUGGCUCAGGGAAGAAGAAGAGUGCAAGCCGCACAUUCAAAGCGGUAGAGCCUCAGUCAUAAGGCUCCGAGUUUCGGGCUGUGUCCGUCUCUCUCCUUCCCCUCCCCUCCCCUCUCCUCUCCGUUUCUUCCUGGUCCCGUAUUCUUCUUCUUGUCGAAUAUGCCUUUUUCUUGUGUUGCCAUCCUCCAUUACACUCACCUCACUACUAUACGGUGUGUGUCUCUUUCUUGCUAUUCGCAUGUGGACGCGUGUGCCGUCCUCAAUGACCGUGCACUCAUCUGCUUUCCUUCUCUGCCUCUCAUUGGACACCUACACUCGUUUGGCCCUCGUGCUUUCUAG